UAACACCGCUUCAUCGCUUCA
rnacentral:piRNA from 1 species